rnacentral:rRNA from 1 species
GACGUAGGGCGCGAGCGUUUGUCCGGAUUUAUUGGGCGUAAAGAGCUCGUAGGCGGCUUGUCGCGUCGACUGUGAAACCCGGAGCUCAACUCCGGGCCUGCAGUCGAUACGGGCAAACUGGAGUGUUGCAGGGAGACUGGAAUUCCUGGUGUAGCGGUGAAAUGCGCAGAUAUCAGGAGGAACACCGGUGGCGAAGGCGGGUCUCUGGGCAACAACUGACGCUGAGGAGCGAAAGCGUGGGAGCGAACAGG